rnacentral:rRNA from 1 species
UACGGAGGGUGCAAGCGUUAUCCGGAUUCACUGGGUUUAAAGGGUGCGUAGGUGGGCAGGUAAGUCAGUGGUGAAAUCUCCGGGCUUAACCCGGAAACUGCCAUUGAUACUAUCAGUCUUGAAUACCGUGGAGGUAAGCGGAAUAUGUCAUGUAGCGGUGAAAUGCUUAGAUAUAACAUGGAACACCAAUUGCGAAGGCAGCUUACUACCCGAAUAUUGACACUGAGGCACGAAAGCGUGGGGAUCAAACAGG